GUGGUAAUCCCAGAGCUAAUACGUGCGUCGACCCCCUGGGCUUCGAGCCCAGGGGGCGCGUUCGCCGGACCUAAAACCGACGCAGGGUAUCCCAAACUGGUGGGGGAGGGGCAACUCUCUCUCAUCGGGCCCUGUACCUCGGCGACCCACGGCGACCCUGCGGAUCGCACGGCCCUAGCGCCGGCGACGCUUCGUUCGAAUUUCUGCCCUAUCAACUCCCGACGGUAGGAUAGAGGCCUACCGUGGUGGCGACGGGUGACGGAGGAUUAGGGUUCGAUCCCGGAGAGGGAGCCUGAGAGACGGCUACCACUUCUACGGAAGGCAGCAGGCGCGUAAAUUACCCAAUCCCGACACGGGGAGGUAGUGACAAUAAAUAACGGCGCGGAGCCCCCGGGGUUCCGCGAUCGGAAUGAGAACGACCCAAACCCGUUAUCGAGUAACAAUUGGAGGGCAAGUCUGGUGCCAGCAGCCGCGGUAAUUCCAGCUCCAAUAGCGUAUAUUAAAGUUGCUGCAGUUAAAAAGCUCGUAGUCGUACCGGGGAGGCCUCGCGGUCCAGGCCGGCCCGCCUCAGGGCGUGUCGCCGGCCCCGCGACCUCCCGAUCCUCUCGGGUGCUCCCCCCCGCUCUUAGGUGAGCGGGGCUCAGGGGGGCCCCGGGUCGGUUACUUUGAAAAAACUAGGGUGUCCAAAGCGGGCCGCACGUCGCGCCUCGAAUACAUUAGCAUGGGAUAACGAUAAGGGACCGCGCCCUCAUCCGUUGGUUCUUGAGGGCUCGGCGACGAUCGACGGGGACGGUCGGGGCCGUCGGUACCCCGUCGUCAGAGGUGAAAUUCUCGGACCGACGGGAGACCAACCCGGGCGAAAGCUCUCGGCAAGGACGCCCCCAUCGAUCAAGAACGAGAGUUAGGGGAUCGAAGACGAUCAGAUACCGUCGUAGUCCUAACCGUAAACGAUGCCGACCGGGGAUUGAGGGACGUUACUCUCGGACGACUCCCCCAGCGCCUCGCGGGAAACCACGAGUCUUUGGGUUCCGGGGGGAGUAUGGUCGCAAGGCUGAAACUUAAAGGAAUUGACGGAAGGGCACCACCAGGAGUGGAGC
rnacentral:rRNA from 1 species